GCCAGCCCGCUCAAGAAACUACAAAGGAAUUGACGGGACCCCGCACAAGCGGUGGAUCAUGUUGUUUAAUUCGAUGAUACGCGAAGAACCUUACCAGGUCUUGACAUCCCCCGCGAUGCUUUAGAGAUAAAGCGGAGGUAUUCGGGGAGACAGGUGGUGCAUGGUUGUCGUCAGCUCGUGUCGUGAGAUGUUGGGUUAAGUCCCGCAACGAGCGCAACCCCUAUUGCUAGUUACCAUCAUUAAGUUGGGGACUCUAGCGAGACUGCCAGUGAUAAACUGGAGGAAGGUGGGGAUGACGUCAAAUCAUCAUGCCCCUUAUGACCUGGGCUACAAACGUGAUACAAUGGCUGGAACAAAGGGAUGCGAAGCAGUGAUGUGGAGCGAAACCCAUAAAAACAGUCUCAGUUCGGAUUGAAGUCUGCAACUCGACUUCAUGAAGUCGGAAUCGCUAGUAAUCGCGGAUCAGAACGCCGCGGUGAAUACGUUCUCGGGGUUU
rnacentral:rRNA from 1 species